rnacentral:misc_RNA from 1 species
GAUGAAGAACGUAGCGAAAUGCGAUAAGUAAUGUGAAUUGCAGAAUUCAGUGAAUCAUCGAAUCUUUGAACGCACAUUGCGCCCGCCAGUAUUCUGGCGGGCAUGCCUGUUCGAGCGUCAUUUCAACCAUCAAGCCCCAGGCUUGUGUUGGGGACCUGCGGCUGCCGCAGGCCCUGAAAACCAGUGGCGGGCUCGCUGUCACACCGGGCGUAGUAGAUUUUAUCUCGCUCAGGGCGUGCUGCGGGUCCCGGCCGUUAAAAGCCUUUUUUUACCCAAGGUUGACCUCGGAUCAGGUAGGAAGACCCGCUGAACUUAAGCAUAUCAUAAGCGGAGGA